CCCAAAUCCCGUGGGCCUUUGCGAGAUAGUAUUUAUGUGUCUCGCGGUAUCCUCUCGGUCUCAUUUAUCCACAGCUCUUGGGUUCGGACGCGCGCCAAACGCUGAAGGAUCUCAAACCGGUCUCAUUGGAAUGUGGUUUACUUCAAAGGAGCUUACAGAUUGGAGGAUGAGACAAGACUUAACCCUCUGUGGAUCAAGUGUGGUGAUGCUGCAGCAUCUCCUCACCAGUCUUGAGGAAUUCAACUGCCUCCCAGGGUGAAUGCAGAUUGUCACAGCAUUAAUAGAGUCAUCUGUCUUACAAUGCCUCUUCAUCUGCUCAGGAUGACUCCUACAGAGUCAAGAGGAGCAGCUUGUUACUAUACACACUCCUGGAAAGCCUCCAGAGUUAAAAGGUACCAUUGCCAGUUACCGUCGCUCAGAGGUACAGCUCCUUGUCUGGUGCCUGAGAAUGAUUUUAGGUAAGUCUGUUAUCUAUGGCUGCUAUAUAGAAUUCACCAUGUUUUGUUUGGUACUCUGAAUAACUGCAGACAUGACUUGCUAAAUCCAAAGUAAGUUUGUCUUUGGCCAUUAGUGAACCACCCGUGACAUUGCCACUCACCAGUGAUGAGUUCAAUACCGCCCCAGUCUGAUCACUAUGACUGAAAGGUAUUUCUGAGCUGUGAGUUUCCCUUGGAGUAAAAAGUGACUGUAGUGGGAAGUUGAGUGGCUUUAUAGCCAACAGGAAACGUUUUGGACUAGCUCGUGAUUCUGUAAAAUGUCCAUUGAAACCUACAUAGCUUUUAUAGAUGGGCCUGUCCUGGAGACAGUUGACUUAGUUCCCAAUCUUUUGCAGGGGAAAGGAGUAAGCCAUCCAUAUAUCUGCUCAGCUCUAGUCUGAAGUUAAGAGAUCUGAAGAAAGAACAAAGCAUACACAAUGGAAUCUAAUAUGGAAGAUAUCAAAACUGAAAAAUCUUUGUACAGAUUGCCUGUUCAGCUUAGCAUAUUUGAAUCAUUUCAGCCUAAAUAAAAAUUUUUUUAAACCUUCA